rnacentral:rRNA from 1 species
GAUGAACGCUGGCGGCGUGCCUAAUACAUGCAAGUCGAGCGAGAAGCUUGGAAAUGACGCUUCGGUUGAUUUUCCAAGCGGACAGCGGCGGACGGGUGAGUAACGCGUAGGCAACCUGCCCCUGACAGAGGGAUAGCCAUUGGAAACGAUGAUUAAAACCUCAUGACACCGUAGUAGCACAUGCUACAUCGGUCAAAGAUUUAUCGGUCAGGGAUGGGCCUGCGUCUGAUUAACUGGUUGGUGAGGUAACGGCUCACCAAGGUGACGAUCAGUAGCCGACCUGAGAGGGUGAUCGGCCACAUUGGAACUGAGACACGGUCCAAACUUCUACGGAAGGCAGCAGUAGGGAAUCUUGCACAAUGGGCGAAAGCCUGAUGCAGCAACGCCGCGUGAAGGAUGAAGGCCUUCGGGUUGUAAACUUCUGUUCUAAAGGGAAGAAAGAAAUG